AUGGGGACAGAGCCAGACACAACCUCGAAGGAAGCCCUGGAGAACUGGGGAGACAGAGCCCCCCCGCCGCCGCCGGCUGGAGGCAUGUGGAGGGGGGGGCCUGGGGCCCAGGGAGAGGCCCAGCGGAAGCGGAGCCACUGGGGUGAGUGUCCCUCACUGUGGGGUGGGGGACAAGGACGGAGAUGGCUGAGGGCAAGGAGGGAAGGGGCGGGAGGCCCAGCCGCUGCAGAAGCUGGGAUGCGGGGGGAGGGAUGGAGGCUGGCUGCUGGAGAGAUGGUGACAGAUGCAGAGGGAGAGACGCGGCAGCCGGCCUCAACCUCGGGUGGCUGCUGCGGGCAUCCUGGCCUGUGGGUCCCUCAGCUGCAAUUUCUGUCCCCCUUGAGCAGCACCGGCUCCCCAGGCUUGAAAGGUGUGGGCUGGGUCAUCUCCAGCCUUAGGAGGUGGGAAGGGAAUGGUGGGUGCAGGAUGAAGACCAGCAUAGACCUCCCCGUUGCACUUGGGAAGCAAAGACCCCACUGUGCUCACAUGACUCGCAGAUAGAGACGCACACGCCCCCCCCCCCAGCUCCCCUUGGAGAAAAAUGAGUCCAGGAUACAGACUCAGAAUCCACCCCUCCCCCCCUCUUCCCUCUGUCCCUCUGUCCCUGUGUCUCUCUGUCUCCCUGUCUCCAGCUCUGGCUCUCACACAUGCAUUCAGGCACACAGACUACGCACACACAUUUUUAUCUGAGUUAAAAUGAUCUUGAACACUGCAGGAGGAGGAAGUGAGUGUGUGUGUGUGUGUGUGUGUGUAUGCGAGCACGCGCACGCUCACAGGGACGCACAUGUACUCGCGCACUGGGCAGGUAGGGGGGUGGCCCUGUGUCUGUGGGUCUGAGAGUCCGCUGUCAGUGGGCCUGACAGUGUGCCCGUGUCACUGAUGUGGCUGUGCAUGUGUGUGCAGACCACCUCCCUCUCCCCAUCACUAGUGGGGAACUCGAGUUGGAGCUGGAGCAGAGCCUGCUGAUGUGGGUACACUUGCGUGUGUACUUGAGAUGCUGCGUGGAAGGGAGAGUAGACCUAGGGCCACAGUCCCCCUCUGCCACCACCUGGCCAGUUCUGUGCGCGAUGGAAUGAGCUGCCCCCCUCCUAGAGCCUCAGUGUCCUGUUUGUAGAUUGGGCGUCCCAACAGCUUCCCGGUUUCUGUGAGGCUUAAAUGAGAACACAGUGUGUGCAGAGUCUGGGGCCGAGAAAGGGCUCACCCUAACGCAGGAGCUAUUAUUGUAGCUCUUGCCAUUGUUGUGAUGGUCCGCGGGUCCUCUUUGGUAGGAUCCUAACCCCACCCCGCCCACUCGCCACCCAGAGCUCUGCCCCAGCCCCUUCCCCUUCAGCUGCCCAGCACCAACCCGGCAGGCAGCCAGCGGCUGGCUCGAACCCACCAGACCUGCCUUCCACACGGGCACCUGCAAUCCCAGGGCCAGUGGGGGUGGGGGCUGAGGGUGUGGCCAUCCCAGACCCCCCUUGGCCACCUCCCCACCCUUGUCUUCUCCAGUCUGCUCCCU
rnacentral:lncRNA from 1 species